rnacentral:piRNA from 1 species
UGAAUCAUAGUAUCUGUGUUUUCUGAUGGU